rnacentral:misc_RNA from 1 species
GGAUUUCUGGCUGCCCAAAGCUUGGAGUUCUUCCUGAUGGUCAAGUGGCUAUGUUUGGAAUCCAUUUGAGUUUGAUCCAUCAAAACUUCACGUCUCUUCAAAAAUUGAGAAUUUCAGACAUGCCAAACUUGGUGGAGUUGCCAUCAGAAAUAUGUGGACUAACAAAUCUUGGAGAAUUGAGGAUAUCUAAUUGUGCAAGCUUAAGAAUAAUCAGAAUUCAGGAAAUGCAACAGCUCAUUGAAUUGGUCAUUCGAAAUUGUCCAGAUCUUAUGUCCUUAACAAUUCUGAGUCUACCAGUAACACUGGAAAAAUUGCAUAUUUCACGAUGCGGAAAAUUGGAGUUGGAGUUU